UAGUCUUUUGUGUUCAUGUUACAUAAGUCACUGCAGUGCAUUAACACACAUGUUCCCUCAAGCGUGCAACAAGCUGCACAGAGCCACUUUUUUCUGCACUCAUCAUUUCACAGACUGGAUGGAGUGAUCAUCCGCGACGGGACGGAGCUUUUUAUGAAACUUCAUCACAGCUCGCUGCAGUCCAGGCCAGACAAAAGAUCUCAGAGCUGAGCUCCGCUGCUGCUCCUGGACCCCGUCUGGACCAAUUCUACCCUGGAAACUGUCGCCCAGAAUGCAGUGAGGGAUCCUUACUGUGGUUUCCUCAACUCCUCAGCGGCUCCAGCAACAGGGAGGAUGUUCCGAUUGGGAAGACUGACUCCGGGAUACUUCCGACUCCUCCAGAGGCAGAUGUCCGGUGAGGUUCAGGUGCAGCCGUACCGCAGCAUCAUGGAGCCUGUUGCCAUGACGAUGGCCGCCUUCGGGAUGGGAGUAUCUCUGUACAGCGCCAGGCGGAUGGCAGCGAGCGGCAGAAGACGUCGAUGAGAAACAGUUUGGGAAUGUGGGGAGGGAAUGUUUCAGGUGUUUGGAGGAAAAUGAAAAGUUUAUCAGAAAGAAAAUGUGAGUUUUUGAUCAGAGGAGAGUUGGAAAGUGUCAAUAAGCCUGCAAGUUAAAAACUGAAUCCUGGGAUUUAUUUAAUUCAUUCAUAACCGUAAUUAGAAUAUUUGUAGAUUUGACGUAAAAAUGUUUUUUUCCUGCAACUUAUAGGUUAACCAAACUUAUGCAUUUCAUGUAUAUUUUGCACAAAUUUGUGUCCGGUUUCUUUUUCUUUAGCCGUUUAUUUCAUCGUGUUGCUGUUAUGUUUGGGUUACGUUGGACAUCCGGAAGCAGCAACACCUCUGACUUUAAAUGUUUCAGAAAUCUGAGUCACUUUUCCGUGAAAGUAGUGAACUUUCCUUUGAUUUAAGAACAACAGUAAGAUGGUUUGCCAAUAGAAUAAAAUGUUUUAUAUUUAAAAUAAGAAAGAAUUGCUCAAUUAUCUUAUUUUAAAUGCA